GUAGGGCGCGAGCGUUGUCCGGAUUUAUUGGGCGUAAAGAGCUCGUAGGCGGCUUGUUGCGUCGUCCGUGAAAACCUGGGGCUCAACCCCAGGCUUGCGGUCGAUACGGGCAGGCUCGAGUUCGGUAGGGGAGACUGGAAUUCCUGGUGUAGCGGUGAAAUGCGCAGAUAUCAGGAGGAACACCGGUGGCGAAGGCGGGUCUCUGGGCCGAUACUGACGCUGAGGAGCGAAAGCGUGGGGAGCGAACAGG
rnacentral:rRNA from 1 species